UGAUACUUGGAGAAAGCAGGUAUCAGGUACGCAGUAAUCACUGGCAGAAACUAAUAAUGAGAAGAGCAAUGAACAUAAUUACCUUGGCCAAAUGAGUUAGAGGAAUAAGAUCUUGCCAACUCUGGACACCGCAUGAGACGGAGGGUGUCCGGGACCCUGAUAAUCCUGCUGAGAAGGGCUGGACGAUGAGUAUGGCUUAUCCUCUAACCAGAGCGUCUUGUUGUUACAUGCCUCAACAUUUCUUAUUUUGUGAGUGCAUUUGUAUUAAUAAAAACUUUUUACCCUUUAUCAAUAAGGUGUGCACUAUUAUUAGUUGUUCCCUCUCCUUUCAUAUGGAAUGCUUCUAACCCUGUGAGUAGAAACUGUGGAGGAGACCAGAUUUUGAACACAAAGAUCAUGUUAAGAAGCUUCUUGUGGAAUAUAUGACCUCACUACAAAGGUUCUUCACUUGGAACUUUCAUUUAAAGGGACUGCCUGGCAGAAAGUGAUCAUGAGAAGAGAAAGGAACAUAAUUACCCUAAUGCAUAAAUAUCUAGAGAUCCUUGGCCAAAUGGCUGAAUCACACCGGGUCAAUAUGAAACUGUGGAGGAGACCAGAUUUUGAACACAAAGAUCAUGAUAAGAAGCUUCUUGUGGAAUAUAUAACAUCACUACAAAGGUUCUUCACUUGGAACUUUCAUUUAAAGGGACUGCCUGGCAGAAAGUGAUCAUGAGAAGAGAAAGGAACAUAAUUACCCUAAUGCAUAAAUAUCUAGAGAUCCUUGGCCAAAUGGCUGAAUCACACCGGGUC